rnacentral:misc_RNA from 1 species
AACUGAUACUACCUGCGGGAACCUGCGGAGGGAUCAUUACAGAGUUGCAAAACUCCCACACCCUCGCGAAUGUACCCGUCCCGUUGCUUCGGCGGGCCGCCCCGGGGCCGCCCCGCGGUCCCUAAGCGCCCCGCCGAAGGCCCUAAACCCUGUGUCCUGUGGUGGCCUCUCUGAGUUACCAUAUCGAAUCAGUCAAAACUUUCAACAACGGAUCUCU